UACAGAGGUGGCAAGCGUUGUUCGGAAUUACUGGGCGUAAAGCGCACGUAGGCGGAUUUGUAAGUCAGGGGUGAAAUCCCGGGGCUCAACCUCGGAACUGCCUUUGAUACUGCAAAUCUCGAGUCCGGAAGAGGUGAGUGGAAUUCCUAGUGUAGAGGUGAAAUUCGUAGAUAUUAGGAGGAACACCGGUGGCGAAGGCGGCUACCUGGACCGAUAUUGACGCUGAGACGCGAAAGCGUGGGGAGCAAACAGG
rnacentral:rRNA from 1 species